rnacentral:rRNA from 1 species
CGCACGGGUGAGUAACACGUGGGUAACCUGCCCUUCGUGGGGGAUAACUAAGCGAAAGCUUAGCUAAUACCGCAUGCGUCCCUCAGAACGCGAGUUCCAAGGGGGAAAGCGGCGCAAGUCGCGCCGGAGGAUGGGCCCGCGGCCUAUUAGCUAGUUGGUGGGGUAAUGGCCUACCAAGGCUUCGAUAGGUAGCUGGUCUGAGAGGAUGAUCAGCCACACUGGGACUGAGACACGGCCCAG